AGCUUUAAUUAAAGCGAAGCAAAGAAAUCGGCAACGCGCCGCUGCAGAGCUACGUGUUGCGGAAACUUCUUUGAGGCCUCGUUUGCAAUCCUAUAUUGAAAAUGAAACAGCAGCAAAGUUCUUACUUAAGUGAUUUGGCAUGUACAUGUUUUAUGCAUGCCAUUCUUACGAUUCUUACGCAUAAUGGGUGCCCAGCACUUCAUUUCAUUACGAAAAUACAUGUUAUCAUUAUAUGUUUCACCCAUUCCAAUUUAUGGCCGGCGCAUUCUUUGAUAGAUUUUCUUCCUGUGAUAUGUUUUCAAGUGUGCCUUUUUUGUCUAGAAGCAUAUCAAGUGCCCGUUAUUGCAAUAUAUUGCGCAAAUAUAUGCUAUUCUUUUCUGUUCCGGUCAUUUCAAUUUUUUGCCGUUUCAUGAUUAAUUUUACUGGCCCGUCAGGGUGGGAAGCUUGGGAGCCACUGGGUAUAUUGCUGUAGAUACCAGCUCAAUCCCAUCACUACAAACAGCCGCACUAAAAAGCAGCAGUCGUCCCAUGACUUAAACUUCUGACGCAACAAUUCAAUUUUUAGACAAACAAUGACAAAAGGAAAAUUAAUACAAUUAUAAAAAUUAACACAUUGUAUAACUGUUACGUGCGAACUUGAUCAUUUCAAAUUUUGAAAAAAAAACAGAGCUACUUGAUCUCAAAAAUCGAUGUGUCAGAUAAGCUGCAAAAAUUCAUUGACUGUAUCCAGUAAUGCUAACCGGUUUGCUGAUCUCAUAAAAUUCCAUGAGACGGUUCUAUAGAACCGGUGCGAACUGGCUGAAUUCCAAAAUUUGUAAUCAAUGAUCAGAAGCAUAUGCUCUUAGACCAUGUAUUUGCCUUAGUGUGCGUAUUUCCAUCAAAUAUGGAGAGAAAUCGACCACAAGUCAAGCUUGAUGCUGAAGAAUCAAGUCAAGGAUGAUCCCAAAGAAUCUAGACUUCAAGUCGCUCCUGAUGCUGAAGAAUCCAGACUGCAAGCCAAGGUCGAUGCCGAAGAAUCUAGACGGCAAGCUGAGCUUGAUGCCGAAGAAUCUUUCAUCAGUAGUAUUUUAGAUGAGUCUGACGUGGAUGAAGGGACUUUUGAUGAUGACAGUGAUACUUCAACGUCAGCUGAUGAAUGGAAUGCGCGGGAUUCAGACAUGGAAUCGGAUGUAUCCUCGGGGGACGACGUUUCUCCAGCAUUGACAAGCACACCACGAAGUAAGCGUUUAGAGGCAAGAAAAUUGCUUGAAUCAGAGGAAAUACCAUCACCAGUUAAUGACUCUCAAGAAGCAACACAGAACAGGCGUUCACGCCGCCAUGCACCAGUUGGCGACUCUCAAACGGCAACGCCAAGCAAACUAUCAUGUUUGCAAGUAAAAGUGUCUUUGAAACCUGAAUUCAAAUAGGUAAAAAUUUCUCCCAAAAGAACAAUUCGAAAAUUCGGUGGCGCAGCCGGGGUCACUAGUCGAGGCAUUUCUGCAUCUUCAACACCCUUGGAUUGCUUUCUACAGUUUUUCACUGUUCAAGUAUUCAAUCUUAUAGUGAAGAUGACAAACUUGAAUGCAGAAAGAAAACUCCAAGACAUCAAUGCUACUCGCACAAAACCUUUGGUGUUUAAACCAACAUCAUUCAAGGAGGUGAAGGCAUAUUUAGGCCUUAUGAUAGCUAUGGGAAUCAUAAAGAUGCCUGUUCUUAGUAUGGAUUGGCAGACAAAGUAUUGGACUUUCAAUGUCGCGUCUUUCAGCAAGAUUAUGUCGAGAGGGCGGUUUGGUGACCUCACCAAAUUUUCUGCACUUUUGCGAUGAAUUCGAUGCCAGGCCAUGUGAUGAUCCGAUGAGAGACAGAAUUUUCAAAUUGAGGCCACUUUUGAAUCUUCUUGAACAGAGUCUGUAUAUAAACCUCGCCGGGAAAUUUCAAUCGACGAGUCUCUGAUAUCUUUCAAAGGCAGAAUUUGCUUCCGUGAAUAUAUUAAAACUAAAAGAGCUCGUGUCGGAAUAAAGGGCUGGGUCUUGACUGAGUCUAAAACUGGUUAUGUUUCCCGCCUCCAAAUAUAUACAGGGAAGACCCCAGUGCUGCCUCUGAGGUUGGACAAGCAUCAAGAGUCAUCAAUGAUCUAAUCGCUCCUUUUGAAAACCCAAAUCACCAUCUGUAUGUAGACAACUUCUAUACAAGCCCUGAUCUGUUUGCUUCCCUGCUUGAGCGAGGAGUAUAUGCAUGUGGAACAAUGAGGCCCAACCGGAAAGAGUUCCCAAAAGAUCUUUUAAUCAAUGAUGCAAACAAGACUCAGAGAGGUUUCUCUGACUGGAGAACGUCUGGUGAACUUCUAGCACAGUCUUGGUUAGAUAAUAAGGCUGUCUAUUUCCUGUCAACAAUACAUUCACCGCAAUACCCUUCGAAUUACACUGGUCGUAGGUAGUUUGUGCAUAGGAGGUAAGGUAAACGCAACAGUGCAUCUCCGUAUGUACAACUCAAAUGCCCACCUCUCCUCAAAGACUACAAUUCCUACAUGGGUGGUGUUGACCUUUCGGA